rnacentral:rRNA from 2 species
UUCCUACGGGUGGCUGCAGUGGGGAAUAUUGGACAAUGGGCGCAAGCCUGAUCCAGCCAUGCCGCGUGAGUGAUGACGGCCUUAGGGUUGUAAAGCUCUUUUACCUGGGAAGAUAAUGACGGUACCAGGAGAAUAAGCCCCGGCUAACUUCGUGCCAGCAGCCGCGGUAAUACGAAGGGGGCUAGCGUUGUUCGGAAUCACUGGGCGUAAAGCGCACGUAGGCGGAUCUUUAAGUCAGGGGUGAAAUCCCGGAGCUCAACUCCGGAACUGCCUUUGAUACUGGGGAUCUCGAGUCCGGAAGAGGUAAGUGGAACUGCGAGUGUAGAGGUGAAAUUCGUAGAUAUUCGCAAGAACACCAGUGGCGAAGGCGGCUUACUGGUCCGGUACUGACGCUGAGGUGCGAAAGCGUGGGGAGCAAACAGGAUUAGAUACCCUAGUAGUC